ACUGAGUUUGCAAGUCCUCAGGGCCAUGUUCAAGCUGAACCCCAAUGCAAAGACGUCAAGUUCAACCUGAAUGCCUAAGAGUUCUAACCUCCGAGAGCAAGCUUCUCUCCAGUGGUCACUGCCUCCUCCACACCUCUCCGGAAUGUUGCCACCAACCAGCAAAAUAAUUCCGUUUCUGCUUUUGUCACCAAACUGGAGGUAAAAGUUUACGUAAGGACUUUGAGAAGGAGCGGGAAAAUGAGUACAAAGAGAAGUACCUCUCGCUAUUAGAGCAUACUAGGUAAAGGUCAUGUAAUUUACUUACUGUUAUUAUAACGUGUUAUGUUAGGUAAGAUCUUAGUAUUAUAUUGGAGCAUACUAGGUAAAGGUCAUCGUGUAGUGUUUUGUAAAACAGUCAUCAUAAUCCUUAGUUUUGCUGUAUAGCGGCUCUUGGGCUAUCAGAAAUGUUCAUGGGGUCUAAUAUUCAUGUUUCAAUGUUAGGAAACCACACCCAUCAAUAGCUAGUUUUAAUGUUCACGUUAGCUGCUCUGCCCCGAAAAACGCGAAAUGUUGCACCUCACCUGCUACGGUACAUGCUAACACUGUAUAUAUCACUAUACAACCAUUUGAAUGCAGAUAAAGUAUCACUCUCUUUAUUGCCUCCCAAGAAGUUAAGUAGCUAACUGUUCUCUGUUGCACUGGAUGAGUGCUGACUCGGCUCUGUUUAAGUCCAAGAGCAAGAAAUCAAAGUGGCUCGACUAUUAUGCGGCCAUUUUUCAGCCCUGCCAAGUGUUGAGGAGACAAGAAGAGGCACUGAGAAUGGAGGUAGAGUUCCCGAGCCCCAUCCCUCACUGUCUGACUCGGAAGAUGAGAUAGACUUUGAAUUCUGGGAGAAGGCGUCCACCCUACCCUCGGACAAGACCCCAACCAAGGACCUGAACUUGUUAUGAGACUGUUAAAUAUUAUUUUGUCUGUUUUUGUACUAUUUUCUGGCAAUGUAAUUAUGUAUGUACCACUUCAUGUCAUCAUAAUAACUAUAAUUAAAAGUCUGUUGCAAUUUAAUUUUCUCAACAUGAUAAAAAAUAUAUAAUCGUUAUA